rnacentral:rRNA from 1 species
GACGAACCGUGCGAACGUUGUUCGGAAUCACUGGGCUUAAAGGGCGCGUAGGUGGCCAGCCAAGUCGGGGGUGAAAUCUUUCGGCUCAACCGGAAAAUUGCCCCCGAUACUGGACGGCUCGAGGGAGAUAGAGGCGACGGGAACUACCAGUGGAGCGGUGAAAUGCGUUGAUAUUGGUAGGAACGCCAGGGCCGAAGGGGCGUCGCUGGAUCUCUUCUGACACUGAGGCGCGAAAGCCAGGGGAGCAAACGGG